ensembl:lncRNA
CUCCAGUCCUUCCCCUACACCUUUCCUGUGCACACCCCUUUAAUGAAGUGUAAAAAUAGAUAUCUUUUGUGAUAUGUUUCUACACUUUCCUAAUGAGCAACGUAAUAACACUUUUAGUUUCAUCAUUGGUCUGCAACAACCACCCUAGCUGUCCUUGCCUUUCUCCAGAUUAGCUUCAGAGCACCACAGUUAUCCUGCCAGCCACCCCACAGUUGCCUAAGAAAAUAUUUGCAUGUCCAUACAUUUUCUGCUAUCUAACACUGUGUGUAUGAAACUCACUCUUAGAAGACAUUUCUCUGGCAGCCUGGAAAAUGCCAGUAUUCCUGUGUGCAAUGAGGAUAAAUGAAGAUUUACUUCUUGCUUGUCAUUUCUCUGGAGUGUUCAGCAUGGAAGGAGAUUGCUAAUGCUUGUCUGGUCCCCUAUGGACCACUGCCUUCCGCACAAGGAAAGGCUGGCAGCACAUGGAGGAAAAUCAUGCAACUCUUCUUCCGUAGGGAUGACUCCUCUGGGAGAAGGUUGGGGCGCACGGGCACAGUGUUGGGAGGGAAGUCUUUCUCUGUUGCAGAGGAGAAGUAGAGGAUUUUGGUGUUCAUGACCUUUUACCUGGCUGCUCUCUUCAACCCACAGUCCUAAAAAAUUAAUUGUCUGGAAAAGAUAUGAAACAGGAUUGAGUUCCUCAAAGGGACUCUCCUCUCGGCUGCUACAGGAUCUGCUGACUGCACACAUUCUGUCCUCUCUCUUGCCUGGCUCCCAGUUAUCUCCUUCCCUCCUCGAAAGUUUAUGAUUUUACUUUUGUGAAAUUUCUUAGCUUCUCACUUGGGGACUGAAGGAUGUUUCAUGAGCAGAAAUGGAGCAAAUGACUUUCCCUAUAACAGAUGAUACUGGAUAUCAACAAACAAAGAAAAAAAAAAAGAUAUGAAGUUCUUCGUAACAGUUUUUCAGAGGGUAAAUGGGAACCCAUUUUGGAGAAGGAGUUCUCUGAUAUCUUUAGCAAAGUCUGCCUAAGAACAGUAUCUGCACAGCUAAGACAGUGAUUUACUAAUAUAUUGAUCUGAUUGAUAGUCCAUAAAUACUUUCUAUUACAGAACAGGAGAUGUUAUACAAAGAAGAAACCACUCCACAAUGCAAAUAAUUCUCUGUGCAAAGACUGUUGGUGGUGAUGAGUUUCCUAUUUAGAAUCAAAGCAUCAUUAAGGUUGGAAAAGACUACUAAGAUCAUCCAGUCCAACCCCAACCCAUCCCCACCAUGCCUACUAAUCAUGUCCCUCAGUGCCACAUCUCCAAGGCUUUUGAACACAUGCAGGGAUAGUAAAAAACAAAAACAAAAACAAACAAACAAAAAAACCCCUACAAAAUUUACUACUACUACUACAGAUAUGAGUGCUAGUGGCACGUUUUUCAUCUAUGAUAGAUGAAAGAGGAGACCUCUCAUCAGACAUCGGGCUAACAUAAACUAUCAGGGGGAAAUUAGUGACUUCAAUAUGGAGGAAUGAGAACCUGACCAGGAAUAGAGGGUGACUGGAAGGGAUCAUUGUAAGAAGACUUUUAUGCCAAAAAUCAAAUGGUGACAGAGCCGGUUUCAAAGAAGACAGUAUCGAGAGACUGUACUACCACUCUUCGUUAUUUCAAAGAAAGUGGUAUGCUGGCAUGAUGAUUCUUGGUAAAGAAAGACAAAAAGGGCAACUGGAAAGUGGAAAACAUGAAAGCUCCUAGGCAUGCAGUGGAGGAUUAAUCUGGAGUGUUGCCUUCAUCAUUGUAAAAUACCUGUGGUGCUGGAUUCCCCUGCUCUUUCUCCCUCUUCCCCCAGUAAAGUCAGCCUCCUGAUUUCUAAAGCAUAUUAUUUACUAGGUUCAAAAAUUAUGUAUGUACUUGCAUAUCCUUUUAAUUAGCCUAGAAAUACAUAUUUCUAUAUUACUAACAACUGAAGCGUUCAGCUCCCCUACCCUCCACCCCUCAACAAACAACCAAAUGAGAAAAAAAACCCCUCAGUUUUAUUUUCUGGAAUUUUGGGCCUGUUUCUCAUUUGUACUGGGGAUGCUUCCUAUCAUCAAACAGUAUGAGGGCACUGACAGGGAGUGGGCAUGUAAUUCAUGCUUGUCAUGCUGUGAAAUACUACUUGGAAGGUGGGAAAAAGCCUUCUCCUGAGUGUUUUUCAUUUAUUAUCCAUAAUGUUCCUAUUUCUAGAAGCCCAGGUCCUUCAUGGGGUUGUGACUGCAACAGAAGCUGUAUAAAUGAAGCACUAUUGGAAAUCAAGGGCUUCAACAUCUUUUUGUUUCUCCUUAUACGAGUGUAUGGGUAUAUAUUACUUUUGGCAGAUGCUCUCUGAAUUUUUUAAUUUCCCUUACCACUUACCUAAAGCAACCCUCUGAGAUAAUUUUUCAUGUCAGCAGCUAAUCUGAUCUAUCGGAGAGCGCGUUACUAAACUUCCUAUACAAAUCUGCUCAGUUUCCACAGUGCUCUUUAAAAAUCUCAAUCUCUCUCUCUGUUACCAAUGUCUACACCUGAAAGAUGCAAUUAGUUAUUAGCCAACAGCAGAUACCAGAUAUUACAGAUCAAUUUCUUUGAGCCUUAUUCUCCAUUCAGGAACAUAAACAAGCUGCAGUCCUCCAUAACUUCUGGUUGCACAAAGGAUAAAAACAUAUUCAGUUGCAAGACACUACUGUGCUGAGCACCCCAGGUCUGAUCAUGCUUUUCAUCCAUCUCAGUCCUUGCUUUAGCCAAACUAAAUGCUUCCUGAUCUGCAUGACCAGAAAAUGGCUACAGGGUAAAAGGAUUUUUGCUUUUGGGUCUGUUCCCUGAGUUGAUUUAUGGUACCUCUUUGUCCAUCUAUGCAGUAGACAGAAAUGCAUUGCUCUCCUCUUCAACCUAGACCCUUCAGUGUGAUCCUACUGCUUUCUGUGCUGCAUUGCCGACAUACCUUUAGACCACAAAUCCUUCCUAAGCUACCAGGAUUCUCCACCAAGUUCAGUAUUUCACAUUCUUCUUUGUCCACUGGGAAACUGAACUUCCAAUUAAAUUGACAUUAUUAUGAAGAACAGUUUCUUCGUCUUAAACGUUUGCCCUAAAAAUAAAGUGACAUUUUCUUUUUUGUUGUUGUUGUUUGUUUGCCUGAAAAUUAAAACUCUAUUUUUUUUUUCCUCUGGCUGGAAAACAUUCAUUUCACUCAAAUGUUUCCUCAAGAGUACCCCCUGCUUUCACACUUCAGUGAGCUGUCAUCUCCACAUUUAAUGUCAAAUUAAAACAAAACCUUUGUUGUGAACAUUCGUGAACUCUAAUGUUUCAGCCAAAGUCCUGAUCACAGUUUUAUAAUUUGAGCUAAACUCUGCAAACAUAAAUAACACUCACUUAGGGAUCAUUUAACUGUUUGUGAACACUUGUGGGUGCCUUGAGCUAGGCUGUGUUUAAACUGGAAUACUUUCAUUGCAUUAUGUUUCUCCAAUAGAUUAUCGACUCUUACCAUUCCAAUGGAAUGAUUCCCCAAAAUGAAAACAGAACUCAGCUGCACUUCACAGUUCCCUGAGAAAGUUAUGAUACCGUGGCCUAAUUUCACCAUCCACUGUAUUAUACCUUUCUAUACGAAAGCAAUAGCAGGAUUCGUAGCCUCAAAGCCCACUACUCAAAAGGGAAUAGUGUAACAUUCCUACAGUUUAUGCCUGUUUCAUUAAUUAAUUAAUGAAUUCCCCACUCAGAUUUUUAAUUUUUGGCAGCAGGAAGCUGACAUUCUGAACUGCUAAUGGUGGCCAACUCUCCAUAGCAUCCAUCAUCUCUUUAUAUAGUUAGUCUUUGAUGUCAAGGAAGCUCAGAGCUUUUCGCCUUUACAAUUCUGUAUGAUUUCCACAGUGCUCAUAUUAGAAAAUUCAGCUGAUAUGAAAAAUUGAUAAAGUACAGACUAGGUCAGCAGUUGUUUUAUC